CAAUAAGCGGAGGAAAAGAAACUAACAAGGAUUCCCCUAGUAACGGCGAGUGAAGCGGGAAGAGCUCAAAUUUGAAAUCUGGUGGCCUCAGGUCAUCCGAGUUGUAAUCUAUAGAAGUGUUUUCCGUGCUGGCUCAUGUACAAGUCCCUUGGAACAGGGCGUCAUAGAGGGUGAGAAUCCCGUCCUUGACAUGAACUACCAGUGCUCUGUGAUACAUUUUCAACGAGUCGAGUUGUUUGGGAAUGCAGCUCAAAAUGGGUGGUAAAUUCCAUCUAAAGCUAAAUAUUGGCGAGAGACCGAUAGCGAACAAGUACCGUGAGGGAAAGAUGAAAAGCACUUUGGAAAGAGAGUUAAACAGUAUGUGAAAUUGUUGAAAGGGAAACGAUUGAAGUCAGUCGUGCUCUUUGGAUUCAGCCGGUUCUGCCGGUGUACUUCCUUUGAGUGGGGUCAACAUCAGUUUUGAUCGCUGGAUAAAGGCUGGAGGAAACGUAGUACCCUCGGGUAAACUUAUAGCCUCCUGUCACAUACAGUGGUUGGGACUGAGGAACGCAGCACGCCUUUAUGGCCGGGAUUCGUCCACGUACGUGCUAGGAUGUGA
rnacentral:rRNA from 1 species